CCAACCCUCCCCCAAGGUCUGCGGUUGGCCGUGCGGGGGCCGCUCCUCUUGUAGCGACGCCGGGGCCUGGAGGCUUCCCUGCGAUCCCGGCUCUGCCGACUUCCCCGCGGAGCCCUCUUCACUCCGGGAAGCUCCGGCAGACUGUGAAGGUCCAAUUCCUAGGUGUUCAGGAUGGUUUGAGAGUCAUGUGGACAAAGAACAGCUACAGCUGGAGACUAUAGAGUAUCAACUGAGAUUCUGGCUUUUUCUUGGAAUACGGGCUAGAUGGGAAUUGGGUUUGCUUCCCUUGGGAAGAUGCUGAAAACACUGUCUACAUGGGAAGGAGGGUAAAACAGCACCUCACAUUUGGAAUCCCCUGUGAACUUUCUCCUUCUCGCUUGAUCCAAAAGAAAACAUAAACCUGGAAGGAAGUCAUGUGUGGAAAAUGCUUGAGUGACAAGUUGGAAAGAGCUUGGACUCUGAAUCAUCAAAAGGAAUAAAUAUUUGUUCAGUUAAGCACAUGUGCCUAUAUUUAUAGAGAACUAAACUUCUGUUGUGUUGAUCCACUGAAAUACUGGCUGUUAUUUGUAAGUUCAAUUGGGGU